CGGCGGGCUCGGCUGGCGGGCCGCGGUGCUCGGGGCACCGGCCGGGGCGCAGUCCUGGCCGGCCGCGUUCCCCCUCUGGCCCGCGGCCC
rnacentral:tRNA from 1 species